GUGAAGGAGCCAGCUAGAGCCUGGAGGGGCCCCAGACUAUGGAUGGGGCCAAGAGAAAGGGGAUGGAAAAAUGCUCAUUUUUGGCUGCUGACAAAAUGGAGGACCCAGGAGUGAGGGAAGUAGUUUGCAGUUAUUUCUGGAGUGGACAGCUCUGAGGAAAAACACCAAAACCCCAGAUCUGUCUUAGACCAUGAAGCAUGAAUCACUUACACCAGAAAGAUGAAGAAAGC